CGCAUGUAUCUCCACAAAUUUUGUUUCAUUUUCCCUUCUCUCCAAAACUCCAAAGCUGAGGUGAACCUUCAAAUAACUUUUAUUCCUUGCUUUCAGUGCUUGGAUGUAAUGUUCAUUGUUGGUGGUGCUAUACAUAUAUGUUGCUUCCAUUCGAGAAGACUGCUCCAAGAUUCUUUAUUUUCUCCAUCCAAAGGCUUCACAACUUGUUUGCUUCUUGGUUAAGGGAAGAUUUCCGAUUCUACAUGAAAAUAUUUUGUGUUGAAUAUGAGCAUAUAUAUGAUACUUUGCCUGAAGUUGCAUGAUUUGAUUCUCUCGUGAUUAUAUAUUUUUGCACUGAGUUUUGAAAGGCCAAA